rnacentral:tRNA from 1 species
GGGAAUGGAUGGGGCACUGGUGGCUUCCCUGGACUUCAAAUCCAGUGGCAGGCCCUAACAAGGUCUGCGGUGGGUUCGAUUCCCACACAUUCCCGCCA